rnacentral:rRNA from 1 species
UACGUAGGGUGCAAGCGUUAUCCGGAAUUAUUGGGCGUAAAGAGCUCGUAGGCGGUUUGUCGCGUCUGCUGUGAAAACUGGGGGCUCAACCCCCAGCCUGCAGUGGGUACGGGCAGACUAGAGUGCGGUAGGGGAGAUUGGAAUUCCUGGUGUAGCGGUGAAAUGCGCAGAUAUCGGGAGGAACACCAGUGGCGAAGGCGACUACCUGGCCUGUUCUUGACGCUGAGGCGCGAAAGCUAGGGGAGCAAACGGG